GUAUGCAGCAUGGCGUGUGGAGGUUACACAUCAUGCCGUGUGAUGCUGGAAUACGCUGCAUAGUGGGUGAUCUUCUUAUCCAGUGGUGCGC
rnacentral:pre_miRNA from 1 species